rnacentral:rRNA from 1 species
UACGGGGGGGCAAGCGUUGUUCGGAAUUACUGGGCGUAAAGGGCGCGUAGGCGGCCUUCUAAGUCGAACGUGAAAUCCCCGGGCUCAACCCGGGAACUGCGUCCGAUACUGGAAGGCUUGAAUCCGGGAGAGGGAUGCGGAAUUCCAGGUGUAGCGGUGAAAUGCGUAGAUAUCUGGAGGAACACCGGUGGCGAAGGCGGCAUCCUGGACCGGUAUUGACGCUGAGGCGCGAAAGCCAGGGGA